UACGUAGGGUGCGAGCGUUAAUCGGAAUUACUGGGCGUAAAGCGUGCGCAGGCGGUUAUAUAAGACAGGUGUGAAAUCCCCGGGCUUAACCUGGGAAUUGCAUUUGUGACUGUAUAGCUGGAGUGCGGCAGAGGGGGAUGGAAUUCCGCGUGUAGCAGUGAAAUGCGUAGAUAUGCGGAGGAACACCGAUGGCGAAGGCAAUCCCCUGGGCCUGCACUGACGCUCCAUGCACGAAAGCGUGGGAGCAACAGG
rnacentral:rRNA from 1 species